AGAUGCAAAAGCUGUUUGUUCCUGAAUCCAAUAGAUUCUGAGGGAAGUCUCCACCUAUUGGAGCCUCAUGUGGCCCAACUCCAGCCUGUUGAUGACGAACAUGAAGAUGAGGACACUGUGUCUGCUGUCACAGACAGGCCCUCAGAGAGCAUAACUGGACAGCAUGAAGAGGGUCCAUCAACUUCUGCAGAACAAAUGAAUACA